UAGAGUUUGAUCCUGGCUCAGAUUGAACGCUGGCGGCAUGCCUAACACAUGCAAGUCGAACGGUAACAGGUCUUCGGAUGCUGACGAGUGGCGGACGGGUGAGUAAUGCGUAGGAAUCUGUCUUUUAGUGGGGGACAACCCAGGGAAACUUGGGCUAAUACCGCAUGAGCCCUGAGGGGGAAAGCGGGGGAUCUUCGGACCUCGCGCUAAGGGAAGAGCCUACGUCUGAUUAGCUAGUUGGUAGGGUAAAGGCCUACCAAGGCGACGAUCAGUAGCUGGUCUGAGAGGACGACCAGCCACACUGGGACUGAGACACGGCCCAGACUCCUACGGGAGGCAGCAGUGGGGAAUUUUUCGCAAUGGGGGCAACCCUGACGAAGCAAUGCCGCGUGGAUGAAGAAGGCCUUCGGGUUGUAAAGUCCUUUACGUGGGGGACGAAAAGGCGGGUCCUAAUACGAUACUGCUGUUGACCGUAACCCCA
rnacentral:rRNA from 1 species